GUGUGUGUUUGUGUCACAUUAGCUACAAUUGACUCCAUUGAAAAUGAAAAUGGAUGGUUCCACCGUGCCUGUAAGAAAGAUUUUAAGAAGGUUAAAGAGAUAAAUGUUGAAGGGCUAACAAAGUUUUUGUGUGAAAAGUGCAAUACUUAUGUUGAACCUGUUCCAAGAUUCAAAGUCCAGAUUAGGGUAGUUGAUGAUUCUGGAAGUGCUUCAUUUGUUGUUUUUGAUCGUGAAUUGGUGCAUCUUCUAGGUAAAUCUGCUUUAUAUCUACGAGAAAAACAAACAAAGUUUAACGAGCAUGAGGAUAUUGAUGUCACUUCAAAAUUUGCACAAAUUGGCAAUGACUGCAAUAAGGUUGGCCAGGUAUCAAUAUUAUUAGGUUUUUUUUAAGUACUUAUGGUCAUCUUAAAUAUAAAUAUAAUUUUAAAUUUUUAGCAAUUUUUUUAAUAUCACUAAUACAUAAAUUAAAAUUACAGAUUUCUAGCACCAUAUGCAACGAGCACUCGGAUGACAAUUGUUCAAAUAAUAGUGGUGCCACGCCGAAUCAAAAAAGGUGUUUUAAAGAUGUUAAUGACAUGAAUGCGGAUGACCAAUUUACAUCAACUGAGUUUUCUACAACCAAAUAUCAGCGAAAGAUUAAGGUUGAGCACGAAAAGGAUGAAGAUGAUACUUGAGUCUUUGUUGUAUGCUCAAGUAAUUACUUUGAGAUUAAUAAUAUGUUCUUUUCUAAUUUUAUUUUUAGAAUAAUAUAAUGUGAGCUAUUUUGCUA